AUAUUGGACAAUGUGCGAAAGCCCGAUCCAGCCACGCCGCGUGUGUGAUGAAGGUCUCCGGAGUGUAAAGCACUUCAAGUUGGGAGGAAGGGCAGUAAGUUAAUACCUUGCUGUUUUGACGUUACCGACAGAAUAAGCACCGGCUAACUUUGUGCCAGCAGCCGCGGUAAUACGAAGGGUGCAAGCGUUAAUCGGAAUUACUUGGCGUAAAGCGCGCGUAGGUGGUUUGUUAAGUUGGAAGUGACAGCCCCGGGAUCAACCUGGGAACUGCUUUCAAAACUGGCAAGCUAGAGUAUGGCAGAGGGUGGUGGAAUUUCCUGUGUAGCGGUGAAAUGCGUAGAUAUAGGAAGGAACACCAGUAGCGAAGGCGACUACCUGGACUGAUACUGACACUGAGGUGCGAAAGCGUGGGGAGCAAAC
rnacentral:rRNA from 1 species